CUUAAGUUAGCGCUUAUGGGGGUUUCCCCCGCCCUGGUAGUCUUAGUAAGCGGGGAAGCUUAUGACUAAGAGCACCACGAUGAUGAGUAGCUUCAUCAUGACCCUUUCCUUAUU
rnacentral:sRNA from 1 species